GGCUAGUCUUGAGCUCCUGACCUCAGAUGAUCCACCCACCUUGGCCUCCCAAAGUGCUGGGAUACAGGCGUGAGCCACCACACCUGCCCCUGCUAUAUAUAUUCUUGAGCUUUGUUCUGGGGUACCAUUAAUUUACUUGAAAACAGCUUGAUUCCUUCAGGUUUUGCUUUUAAGCAAGAAAACUAGCUGUGUUUUCUUUAGAGUUAAUUGUGUCUCACUACUGAGGCAGGUCCCUUUGUGUACUCUACUCAGUGCCCUGUGAAUUACGAAGUUUUCCGGUCUAACCGGUAAGAAGAGGUACCGUUCCCUGCUCUGUGUGAAGUUGGAUACUGUUCCUUCUCAUCCUUUCUGGUAAUUCUUUCUCUGGCAUUGGGUAGUUUACUCACAUGCAUGUGCUGACCAGUACUCUGCUGUAUACUUGAGGGGGGCCUCUACAGAUCUCUGGAGUCCCCGCUUAUGUAGCUCUCUCACCUGCAGUAUUGUGUCCUGCAAACUGGCUUCUUUGUCUUCUUGGACUCUUAGUUCCAUCUCUUCAACUGAGAGAGUCUGCUGGGCUCUGCCUGGACUUCCCCUCCCUGCGCCACAGAGGGAACGCCCUCAAGGCAGUAAGUUGGAGUGUUGUAGGGUUCUCCUCAUUUGUCAGCUGUUGCUCCGACAUCACUAUCCUCUGGUACCUGAUAACUAAUUUCCUGAAACUGUUGUUUCAUAUAUAUUAUCUGUUUAUUUGGUUGUUUCAGUAGGGAAGGUAAAUCUGGUUCCUGUUACUCCAUCUUGGCCAGAAGCAGAAUUUCCAGAGAAUGUUUUUGAAUCUCUGAAUGAAUCCACAGAGCUCUAUGGCCCCAGUGUGAGGUAGAUCAGUAGGGUAACUGUAGUUUAUAAUAAGCUAUUGUAUAUUUCAAAAUAGCUAGACGAGAAGAAUUUGAAUGAUUCUAGCGUGAAGAAAAGACAAAUAUUUAAGGUGAUGGAUAUCCCAAUUACACCGAUCUGAUCUUUACAGAUUGCAUGAAUAUAUUGAUUAUCACAUGUGCUCUGAAUACCUGUUAUGCAUCAGCAACAACAAAAAGCUCUACAGGAAUAUUCUUUGAGAUCUUAUACAAAUGCGCAUACCUUAGGAAGCCCCUAAAUCUUCCCAACUUUGAAGUCAGUUGGCCACUGACACACCAGUGACAUGCUGCUGGCACGCAGAGCUCAUCACACAGCCAGUGGUUCCCUAACCACAUGGUGAGCUUUCCUGAGGGCUGCAGGCCUCAUUGGUUUCUGCUGGCUGGUGCCUGGCAUAAAGUCUGGCAGCUGGUGUUGAGCUGAUAAGAGUUAGAGGGCAGGAGGCAUUACUACAGAGGUGAAUGGAGAUGGCUAAACAGAUGUAUGAGAGUGCCUGGGACUCUUCCCUUAUCUGAGCAUUGUGCCCAAGUCCCACCUUCUGGCUCCAAAGUGGGAGACAGUUCUUUUCUUUUUCCUCCUGUUGCUGCCACUGCACUGUUGAGCCUGUCUCCCAGCAAUCCCAAGGGCAGCAGCCCAAAGGUGGCAGCCAGGAGAGCAGAGUCCAGCUGUCAGAGGCCACCUCAGGAAGGAGCUGCUGUGUGGCUUGAGUAGUGUUCUUUAGGCAGUGUGGCUCAGCAUCUCCGAGGUAUGAUGGCAGGGAGCCUACGGCUUGUUCUGGAGUAGCAGCCAGAAGACUUUGCUCCUAGACUGGGCUCUGCUUCUUACCAGCUGUCUGCCAUCGGACACUCUGCUGAGCCUCUCUGUGCCUUGCGUGGUUACCUGUUCAGUGGGCUUGA